rnacentral:rRNA from 1 species
GACGAACGCUGGCGGCGUGCCUAACACAUGCAAGUCGAGCGGAGAUGUACUGAAGAUUUAUCGGAUGUACAUCUUAGCGGCGGACGGGUGAGUAACGCGUGGGCAACCUGCCUUCCACUGGGGGAUAACACAGGGGAAACCUGUGCUAAUACCGCAUGACAUCACAUAGGGCAUCCUGUGUGAUCAAAGGAGUGAUCCGGGUGGAAGAUGGGCCCGCGUCUGAUUAGCUAGUUGGUGAGGUAAUGGCUCACCAAGGCGACGAUCAGUAGCCGACCUGAGAGGGUGAUCGGCCAAUUGGAACUGAGACACGGUCCAAACUCCUACGGGAGGCAGCAGUGGGGAAUAUUGCACAAUGGGCGAAAGCCUGAUGCAGCAACGCCGCGUGAGCGAUGAAGGCCUUCGGGUCGUAAAGCUCUGUCCUCAAGGAAGGAAUAAUAGACGGUACUUGAGGAGGAAGGCCCGGCUAACUACGUGCC